rnacentral:rRNA from 1 species
UAAGGAAUAUUGGACAAUGGACGAAAGUCUGAUCCAGCCAUGCCGCGUGCAGGAUGACAGCCCUACGGGUUGUAAACUGCUUUUAUACAGGAAGAAACACUCCGACGUGUCGGAGCUUGACGGUACUGUAAGAAUAAGGAUCGGCUAACUCCGUGCCAGCAGCCGCGGUAAUACGGAGGAUCCAAGCGUUAUCCGGAAUCAUUGGGUUUAAAGGGUCCGCAGGCUGUUUUUUAAGUCAGAGGUGAAAUCCUACAGCUCAACUGUAGAACUGCCUUUGAUACUGGAAAACUUGAGUUAUUGUGAAGUGGUUAGAAUGUGUGGUGUAGCGGUGAAAUGCAUAGAUAUCACACAGAAUACCGAUUGCGAAGGCAGAUCACUAACAAUAUACUGACGCUCAUGGACGAAAGCGUGGGGAGCGAACAGGAUUAGAUACCCUGGUAGUCCACGCCGUAAACGAUGGAUACUAGCUGUUCGUCUAACAUUGGUUAGAUGAGUGGCUAAGCGAAAGUGAUAAGUAUCCCACCUGGGGAGUACGGUCGCAAGACUG